rnacentral:lncRNA from 1 species
UCAUUAAUUAAUUGAUUUUUGAGGAAAAUGCUAUUGAAUGGGAAAAAUAACCUUUCUAACAAAUAAUACUGAGACAGCUGGAUGUCAACAUGCAAAUGAAUGAAGUUAGACCCUUUCAUCACACCAUAUAUAAAAAUUUACUAAAAAUUGAUCAAAAAUUCAAAUGUAAGAAGAAAAACUAUAAAACUCAUAAAAAUAUAUAGGAAUAAAUCUUCAUGACCUUGGAUUAACGAAGCCUUCUCGAAUAUGACACCAAAAGCAUCUGCCACACAAGCGAAUGUAGACAAAUUGGACUUCAUCAAAAUUAAAAGAUAAAAAAGCUUUUAUGCUUCAGAGAGCACAAGAAAAGAUCCACCUUUCUAGCACGACAUGAAAGUUCUGGUAAUAUAAGAACUUGGUAGUCAUAUAGCUCUCGAUUUGAAUGCUGUUUUAGAAUAGUUAAUUUAUAUAGCUUCCCUGAAUCUCAGCUUCUUCAUGUACAAAAUGGGGGUAAUAUUAGCACAUGGGUUGCUCGGAAAAUUAAAUGAGUUACCCCAUCUAAAGAGCUCAGCACAGUGCUAUCAGCGAUAGCCCUC